rnacentral:rRNA from 1 species
GAUGAACGCUGGCGGCGUGCCUAAUACAUGCAAGUCGAGCGAACAGACGAGGAGCUUGCUCCUCUGACGUUAGCGGCGGACGGGUGAGUAACACGUGGAUAACCUACCUAUAAGACUGGGAUAACUUCGGGAAACCGGAGCUAAUACCGGAUAAUAUAUUGAACCGCAUGGUUCAAUAGUGAAAGACGGUUUUGCUGUCACUUAUAGAUGGAUCCGCGCCGCAUUAGCUAGUUGGUAAGGUAACGGCUUACCAAGGCAACGAUGCGUAGCCGACCUGCGAGAGUGAUCGGCCACACUGGAACUGAGACACGGUCCAGACUCCUACGGGAGGCAGCAGUAGGGAAUCUUCCGCAAUGGGCGAAAGCCUGACGAAGCAACGACGCGUGAGUGAUGAAGGUCUUCGGAUCGUAAAACUCUGUUAUUAGGGAAGAACAAAUGUGUAAGUAACUAUGCACGUCUUGACGGUACCUGAUCAGAAAGACACGGCUAACUACGUG